rnacentral:rRNA from 1 species
UGAGGAACAUGACCUUCGGCGGGGGAUAGCCGGCCCAACGGCCGGGUAAUACCGCGUACGACCACAUGGGGACAUCCCUGAGUGGUGAAAGCAGCAAUGCGCCGAUGGAGUGCCUCGUCGGCCUAUCAGCUAGUUGGUGAGGUAACGGCUCACCAAGGCAACGACGGGUAGCUGGUCUGAGAGGAUGGCCAGCCANAUUGGGACUGAGACACGGCCCAGACCUCUACGGGAG